AGCCUUCUGUAUCCGUGUUGAGAUUUCGUCACACACCAGACCACAAGGGCUGAUGAGACUCCCAAGAUCAUCAUCAGAUG
rnacentral:pre_miRNA from 1 species